CAGUCCUGGACAGGAUGGAGUGCUGUGUCUUUCUCCUUCUAGUCAGACUAUGCCAGAGCUGACUGUCUUGGAACUGGGGUUAAUAAUGUGAAGAUCAGGCUCCAUUGACAUGAUUACUCUCUCCAUGGAUACAGAUUACCAGAGCCUUCCAUCCCUAGGGCAUCCUUCCAUCCCAGAUGCCCCUCUUCCAGAAUCUUUCUCCUGCUGAGUAAAAUUCCAGAAAGGUUAGCGAGAAGUUGCAGCUGACAAAAAGAACAGCUGGAUCAUGCAUCUUUCAGAGGGGAAGAGCUUGCGCCCUCAUGGCUGAAG
rnacentral:lncRNA from 1 species